rnacentral:lncRNA from 1 species
CACAAAUUUAUUUCUAGGAUAAUCAGUGAAUGUCAUGGAUAUCCAUAAUGAACUUACAGAUCCCUCAGAUGAAUUCAAGGAGCCUUGGAUCAGACCCAAAAGUGCAAUACGUCUUUCAAUAAUGGAUCCCUUUUAUAUAUGAAACUGAAAGAUCUGUACGAGUGAUCCAUCAUGCAGCAAAAAAUCUUUAUGUGAUCUACAUUUAACAUUUCUGCAAUGGACUGGAGAGUGCGAGUUGUUUCUUGCCCUGGUCAAAAAG